rnacentral:misc_RNA from 1 species
GAAAUGCGAUAAGUAAUGUGAAUUGCAGAAUUCAGUGAAUCAUCGAAUCUUUGAACGCACAUUGCGCUCGCCAGUAUUCUGGCGAGCAUGCCUGUUCGAGCGUCAUUUCAACCAUCAAGCUCUGCUUGCGUUGGGAUCCGCGGCUGCCCGCGGUCCCUCAAAAACAGUGGCGGGCUCGCUAGUCACACCGAGCGUAGUAACUCUACAUCGCUAUGGUCGUGCGGCGGGUUCUUGCCGUAAAACCCCCAAUUUCUAAGGUUGACCUCGGAUCAGGUAGGAAUACCCGCUGAACUUAAGC